rnacentral:rRNA from 1 species
AGCAGCCGCGGUAAUUCCAGCUCCAAUAGCGUAUAUUAAAGUUGUUGCAGUUAAAAAGCUCGUAGUUGAAUUUCGGGAUUGACGUGACGGUCGUGCCUUAAGGGGUAUGAACUGUCGCCGUUGAUUUCUCACCUUCUGGAGAAGCUCGAUGUCCUUAAUUGGAUGUCUUGUGGAACCAGGACCUUUACCUUGAAAAAUUAGAGUGUUUAAAGCAGGCAUUUUGCUCGAAUACAUUAGCAUGGAAUAAUAGAAUAGGACGGCAUGGUUCUAUUUUGUUGGUUUCUAGGAUCACCGUAAUGAUUAAUAGGGAUAGUUGGGGGCAUUAGUAUUCAAUUGUCAGAGGUGAAAUUCUUGGAUUUAUUGAAGACUAACUACUGCGAAAGCAUUUGCCAAGGAUGUUUUCAUUAAUCAAGAACGAAAGUUAGGGGAUCGAAGACGAUCAGAUACCGUCGUAGUCUUAACCAUAAACUAUGCCGACUAGGAAUCAGACGAUGUUAAUUUUUAAUGUA